CUUGCUAGACACACAUAAACACAGUAUAAAUAGUUAAAUACAUUCCAUUCAGCCCUUUCAUUGUUCCUAGUCAACACAGAAACACAUUCCAAAAGAUUCAGCUUCACUAAGCUGUCACCAUGUUCAUACUGAAGAAUGGUAAAUUUGCUGGGUACUUUUUGUUAAUUUUUCUUAGCAUUUCUGCAAUAAACUCAGUAGCACUAGGAGGAAGAAUUCUUCAAGAUGUUGUAGAGAAGCCUCAGCAAUGGAGUCAGGUUCCUGACAAAGGAUUCUUCGCUAAUGUCGACAGAGAAGUACCCUCAUGUCCUGAUCCUCUGCACAAUAGUAUUGACCUGGUGCAGCGUGAAGUCAGUAUUGACCUGGUGCAGCGCGAUGACCUGACAUGUAAAUGAAGACUAUAAGAGCUAUGUCAUUACCUGACUACGAGAGCAUAUAAUUUUUUUAAAGUUUUUGUUUACAGUUGCCGUUUUGCUAUUGUCGCAAUAGAUUUUAACUUCCUAAAUCUGACUAUAUGUGUAAGAACUUCCUGCAGAAUACGCAGACAGAAUACAUAGAUUAACGUUCUAAAUAAAUAGGACUGCGAAAUUAAUAGACACUUGAAAUGUGGUAAACUCUAUAGGGGACUACAUAAGUGAAUCGAAAGCCAAACAAACAAUACGAUAAUCACCAAUUAAAAGUCUGUGAAGCACUUUGGAUACAAAGAACAGACUGUUAAUUUCUAGCAGUUUAGAGAUUGUCAGAGGUACAGAUAAGAAGCCAAUCCUGGAGGAAUGAAAAUCAUAUAUCUUCAUAUUCGAAAACUGGCAACACUCUUCAACCUUUUAAUCCUUCCCCAUGUUGUAUCUUAGCACAAUUUUAUUUGCAAUUAUUGCGAAGAGCCUAGCUUUUGAUCCGCAACAAGCACCAUGAACGUCUUUAACUAGGCUGCCAAACUGAGGAAACAUUGUCUCAAGCUCAUCUGAUCCGCUUUCAACACGUGCUUUGAUACUCUCAAUCUCUCAACAUUUCCGGCAUCCUUUAAAUUUUUGUGUUUCAUUUUUGAGAAUAUGAGAAGUGAACUCUAUUAACUGAAUAGCAUCAAAUUAAAGUUUUCAACUAAAACCAAAACCUCAAUAAAUACUAAUUGAGUUGCUAACAGAAUAUUUAUUUUGAUUAUAAACACAACUGAACUAUUAUAUGAACAUAAAAAGAUCAGAAAUACAAUGUAUAAUGUUGAAGCACUAUUGUAUGUCUGUUAGAAGCACUAUUGAGUAAAAUUUUUUCACUCAAUAUUAAAAGAUAGAAACUAAGAACUCUAUUAGAAAACUAGUAUCAGAUACGCGGACUGAAACUUGCCUUUAACUUAGGCUAUUGAUUAAACUCUACUAGACUAUCUUAUGGCUCAGUUGUACCCUUCUUCUUUGCAUCUUUGUCUAUUCAAAAUACACUAAUUUAGUUGGCGAACAAUCUAGAUCGUCUAAUUAAAUUAACAAUCAAAACCCUAACUUCUACUCCUUGCAAACUAUAUAUAUUACUCCAUCUAUUCCAUUUUAACUGAUGUUUGACUUUUUAACACGUAUACUAAGGUGUGCAAGAACAAUAAUCACACUAAACAAAAAUUAAUUUGAAUCUGUUCUUAUUCUGCAUUGCUUUCGACACAUUUGGCAACACCAUCUCAGUUUCUUAUAAGUCAUUUUCUUUGCGAUUUUGAUCAAAUCUAACUUUUCGAUUUUGCUUAUGUUAGAUCAUAGAUGAGACUACUACAUCAGCCAAGUACACUGCUAUACCAAUUAUUUACUGUAGAUUAUUUUAAUGCGGCAAGUAAGCGAGUGUGAAAUAGUUUGUCAACGAUAUAAAUAAUUGGCUCAAGCAAGUAGCAGAAGGUUUAUUCAGACCAGUUACGUCCUAUUAGUGCAUGUCAAGAGUCACUAUGAUUUCUGGAGUUUCUGAAACCACUCAACAAACUGUGGGAGAAGCUAAUAUAUUAAGCUUAAAAUUGGGCAACUGUGAGAUGAUGUAUGCACAAGACACUGAAUGUAGCAAAUCAAAGAGUCAAGUAGUUUAUCUUACUUCUCUAGUUGUGGUCUGGAUAACAUUUCUAGAGACUUACUUACAUUUCCCAGAAACAAAAAUGUAGAAUUCAAGAAACUCUGUCCCCUUGAUAUGUAACAAACUUAAAUCAUAUUACAUUGCCUAGACAAAAACCCUUUUGAUUAGCUACUAGCCUAGGUUCCGUAAAAUAUUGCUGAAUCUUAGAACCAGCAUCGACAUAAUGUGUAUAUAAAGAAUGAAUGAAUCUUGGAGAUUCAGUAUCUGCAUUUCCAAGAUAAUUGCAAUGGCUUCAUAUCUCCUGGCUUUGCCUCUUCUGCUGGCCAGUAUCUCCUUGCUGCUUACUCCGGUCGCUUGUGAUGAGAAACAAUGCCUUCUGAAAGGCAUUAACAGUUUCAGGCAGUCUCAGAACUUAUCUACAUUGACAAGCAAUGAUAAAGCAUCUUGCUUUGCGAAGCAAAUAGCUAAACAACUAGAAGGACAACCUUGUUCUCAUGUAACUGACCCGAAUACUGUCCCCGGAGUUCCAGAAAUUCUAAGAAAAUGCAAAGUUAAAAUCAAUUACACGACGGAUGGGUUGAUGCUAUCAGUUUGUGUUGCAAAAAGAGUUCCGAAUCUAGUUCUAAAUAACUUCACCAAAACAUUCUAUACUUCUUAUCUGAAGAAUUCUAACUUCACUGGAGCUGGCAUUGGUACAGAAGACGAUUGGACUGUUAUCGUGUUGAGCACAAGUACACUAGCUGGAAGUUUUUCAAGUUUUGCUUGUAGGGUUUCUUGGAGCUUCUACUACUUGAUUUCAGUUAUGGUUUUGUUUUUAUUCUGACAAAUAAUUUACGAGCUAGGUUGAGCUAAUCAUUUCCUCUUCCUGAUUUGUAAUUGAUGUUGUUAUUCCAACCGCUGGCACUUGUAUAUGUAUCUUUGUUGUAUGAAGAAUGGUACAUUGUUUUUUUUUU